GUAGAAACGUGCCAUAUAAAAUCUUUGCCAUCAGAUUACCGUUCUCAAUGGACGAAAAGCUAACGGUGACCAUGAUGAUGCUGUUUCACAGCUUCACCCUCGGUGAUGACACCUGUAACAGCACGUUUUUGUGUCACUUUCCAAACUCCAC